AUUAUACCCCCACAUGUGCUCACCCACAAAAUGGCCGCUCCACCUUUUAUAUCUCUGGGAAUUGCCUCCCAAAGGGGGGAUUUGCCCCUCCCACAGUCUGUCAAUCAACUCUUCUUCACCAUCCAUUGGUGGAAGCUGCUUUCCUGCAACUUGAUUGGAGGUCAGGUGUUGCCAUGCCACGCCCCCUAGCAACAAGCCAUCCCCGUUCCCAGCUGCCCCGUGUAAGGAAGGGCGCAGGUUCGCGCCCUCCAGCCACAUGUCCCGACCAGCAAGGCCAUCCCUUGGCAACCAUACGGGGAAAGGGGACUACGGAGAGAACAGGGGAUGCCUAAACAACAAAUCACAAUAACAUUACUGUACAUCAAUGGAACGUCUCUUAACAUACACAUAAUAUUCAUCCCUUUAUUGUGAGAUCCAACCAUUGUGUCACCCAUCUAUGACACCAGUCAUUGCAAGCCAGCCUGGAAAACAGUAAAAUUUUGCAUGGUGUGGAUGUUCUUCAUGCAGUGACCUGAAAACAAUGAAAACAGGAAGAGAUUGAGCCAGUGGGUCUUUGAGAAGAUCUAUUCAAGCCUAAACUUCAUGGAGGAACUUUUAUUCGCGCUUUCUCUGGGAGAACAUCAGGACUAAAGCACCAGGGCAGAUAUAAGCCCAGUUCCAGGGACACUGAGCACCCAAAGCUCCAGUUAAAUCAGAGGUGGCUGUGGAUACUGGGUGGUCUUUAAAAACAAGUUAUAAGGCGAUGCUGCUGACAUGGAGAGAGAAGCCCUGGAAGCUCCUAGCUCAGAGAACACCCAUUGACUCAUCUGGUAUUUCCAUACAUGAAAGAUUGGAAAACUGCUUUCUAGUCUCAAAUCUUACAAGGUUCCUGGACUACAUUCAGUCUUAUUAUGAAUUCUCUUAGUUUCCAUCUCCCAAAUACACUUACGCAUUUUGAAGUAAAUUAAAACUAACCUCUGUGGUUUUGUGCACUUGUGUGCGUCCAUACAUAGACACACACACUCCUCUGUACUGUACUGUGUUUUGCAGGAGCAAACAAACUCCUUUUGCUACUUAGAGACCAGCCCAAAAGAAUGGAAACAAGAUGAAAAAAGAGAUGAUCUGCCCCCUGGAUGCAGCAAGACAAUGACCUUACUACUAUUCACCUGCCACAAUAUCACCACUGUCAUUUUGAUGAGAUUUUUUUGAUUUUGAAAAUCUGGGAAGAUGUCCCCUUUACCAGAACACUGCCCUGUUUUUGAUGAGAUUUCACAGUCUUGUGAACUUUUGUUGCUUCUGCAAAACCAUACUGAUGAAAAACUUAAGUUAAUGGCGCUUACACCAAUUACUGGAAAAAUACUGCUUCAGCCUGGGUUUCGAGAGCCUUUAUGCUCUCAGUUCUGCCAGCCACCAAAAUGGAAGGUGGAAUAAAUAGGCCAUGUUGUUCACCA